UACGAAGGGGGCUAGCGUUGUUCGGAAGUACUGGGCGUAAAGCGGGUGUAGGCUGCUAUGUAAGUCGGAUGUAAAAGCCCCGGGCUCAACUCGGGAAGUGCACUCGAUACUGCGUAGCUUGAGUACCGGAGAGGUUGGUGGAAUUCUCGGUGUAGAGGUGAAAUUCGUAGAUAUCGAGAGGAACACCGGUGGCGAAGGCGGCCAACUGGACGAGUACUGACGCUGAGACACGAAAGCGUGGGGAGCAAACAGG
rnacentral:rRNA from 1 species